CCUAAACUUAACCUAACAUAACCUAACAAAAGAGUUACUAUAGGUCUUGACUCAGAAAAUUCAUAUAUGCUUCCUUACUAAUGAGACUUUCUAUACAACAAAGUGUGGUCAUUCUUUGUUGAUGUAUACCAUAAGGUGCUGGCUAUCAUGUGUUUGAAGAUACCCUAAACUUAACCUAACAUAACCUAACAAAACCCCAAACAGUUACUAUAGGUCUUGACUCAGAAAAUUCAUAUAUGCUUCCUUACUAAUGAGACUUUCUAUACAACAAAGUGAGGUCAUUCUUUGUUGAUUUAUACCAUAAAGUGCUGGCUAUCAUGUGUUUGAAGAUACCCUAAACUUAACCUAACAUAACCUAACAAAACCCCAAACAGUAACAAUAGGUCUUGACUCAGAAAAUUCAUAUAGCUUCCUUACUAAUGAGACUUUCUAUACAACAAAGUGAAGUCAUUCUUUGUUGAUUUAUACCAUAAGGUGCUGGCUAUCAUGUGUCUGAAGAUACCCUAAACUUAACCUAACAUA